CUGCGAUCUGGGAAGUUGUGAUCUGAGAUAGGGAGUGAGCCAGGUGCACAAGUGUUAGGGUCCACGAGAUGGUUAUAAGCAUCAGAAGAGAAGUAAAGGAAGGGUGAUGGGAAUUCUGAAUUUUCUUUCCCCCAAAGGCCGCCUGUGAAAUUCAAUUUUAUCUGCUUCUUUUUCUCUAAAAUCUGGGGAGACGCAUUAUGACACGACAGAGGACCUUUGUGCACUUGUGUCAUUUGGUGGAAACAUCCCUGUGAGCCCUUUGGACUGGGAUUUCACAGAUAAGCAAAUCUGCCAGUAAUUGGCUGAGUUGUACUUCAGCCCAAACCCUAUCUGGAAGCAAAGAAUCAAAGAGAAACAGGAGGCAAAAGAGGAAAAGAUAAAUGUGGUUUAAAGGAAGGAAAAUAUGAUGAACAUACACUGUGAUGCAGAGACAAGUACACAGAAGCCGUGCACACACGCACACACGCAUUCUGAACAGAAGCAUCUUUAAGACGAAGUGCCAGUGAGGAGUGCUCUCCAGACAGAAGCAAUUUGGUAGAUAAAGGUCAACAAGGCCUUUCUUCUUCCAGUAAGAAGAUUUCUGGAUUCAACUUUUAUAUUUCAUUUGAGUGUGAUGCCAAUAGUCUAUCCUGUUGGCUAACUUGUAACUUUGUUUUGGCAAGUGGGGUAUAAGCAUGGAAGCAAUUUGCUUGGUUACUAACAUGUGCUAGGUCAAUCUUGCAGCCUCAACAGCUGAGAGUCCCCUAUGGCUGCAUUUGGUUAUCAUGUUUUAGAGCAGAAAUGAUAUGCAGGAUGGAUGUUUACCAAGCUUGACUUGGGAAGCCUCCCGUCUACCCUUUGUUUUGAGAAAAGCCUGGCUGGAGCAGAGUCCUGCUGACGGCGUUGGGGCUCCCAGUGCAACCAGGAAUGUAAUAUACAUAUCUGAAUGUAAUCCAGUUAAGAGAGGGGAAGUUUACCAAAGCCUGUAUCAUGGACUUC
rnacentral:lncRNA from 1 species